UGCCAGCCGCCGCGGUAAUACGGAGGGCGCAAGCGUUGUUCGGAAUUAUUGGGCGUAAAGGGCGUGUAGGCUGAUGAGUAAGUUUAAUGUGAAAUUCCGGGGCUCAACCCCGGAGCUGCAUUAAAAACUGCUCAUCUUGAGGAUAGGCGGAGAAAACGGAAUUCCAUGUGUAGCGGUGAAAUGCAUAGAUAUAUGGAAGAACACCGGUGGCGAAGGCGGUUUUCUAGCUUAUUCCUGACGUCUGAGGCGCGAAAGCAAGGGGAGCAGACAGGAUUAGAUA
rnacentral:rRNA from 1 species